rnacentral:rRNA from 1 species
AUUGAACGCUGGCGGCAUGCUUUACACAUGCAAGUCGAACGGCAGCGCGGGGGCAACCCUGGCGGCGAGUGGCGAACGGGUGAGUAAUACAUCGGAACGUACCCAGAAGUGGGGGAUAACGUAGCGAAAGUUACGCUAAUACCGCAUACGUUCUACGGAAGAAAGUGGGGGACCUUCGGGCCUCAUGCUUUUGGAGCGGCCGAUGUCUGAUUAGCUAGUUGGUGAGGUAAAGGCUCACCAAGGCGACGAUCAGUAGCUGGUCUGAGAGGACGACCAGCCACACUGGAACUGAGACACGGUCCAGACUCCUACGGGAGGCAGCAGUGGGGAAUUUUGGACAAUGGGGGCAACCCUGAUCCAGCAAUGCCGCGUGAGUGAAGAAGG